UGGGGAAUAUUGCACAAUGGGCGCAAGCCUGAUGCAGCCAUGCCGCGUGUGUGAAGAAGGCCUCGGGUUGUAAAGCACUUUCAGCGAGGAGGAAGGUGGUGAGCUUAAUACGCUCAUCAAUUGACGUUACUCGCAGAAGAAGCACCGGCUAACUCCGUGCCAGCAGCCGCGGUAAUACGGAGGGUGCAAGCGUUAAUCGGAAUUACUGGGCGUAAAGCGCACGCAGGCGGUUUGUUAAGCCAGAUGUGAAAUCCCGGCGUCAACCUGGGAACUGCAUUUGAAACUGGCAAGCUAGAGUCUCGUAGAGGGGGGUAGAAUUCCAGGUGUAGCGGUGAAAUGCGUAGAGAUCUGGAGGAAUACCGGUGGCGAAGGCGGCCCCCCUGGACGAAGACUGACGCUCAGGUGCGAAAAGGCGUGGGGGCAGCAAAACAGGAUUAGAUACCCCUGGUAGUCCACGCUGUAAACGAUGUCGAUUUUGGAGGUUGUGCCCCUUGAGGCGUGGCUUCCGGAGCUAACGCGUUAAAUCGACCGCCUGGGGAG
rnacentral:rRNA from 1 species